rnacentral:rRNA from 1 species
GUGCAGGUGACUUGUUCCAGUGAGGACCUGCACGACGUCACGCUCCAUUUCCAGAUCAUAAGACAGUCUGUCGAGAUCUAUGCAUGGAUAGGAUGCAACAACUCGGCAAAGUUUGGCCAUUUAUAUGCUGCUGCAAGCCUGCAACCAGGUAAUGGAGUGAGUGUCGCAUCUGUGCUUGGCGGAACAUCUGAUAACACUGGGUCAAGCAUGGCACACCGCUUAGUGCUCAAGACAGGUCUAAAUAUAGUUUUAGCAUGUAAUAUUCCGAAAGACAGCCCCAUGCUUGAGGCUGCUGCAGAGAGGAAACUUGUAGAGAAGCUGAGAAUAUCAGAUCCAAAACAGGAGAGGCUAACGCUCACGCUGAUGGAUACUUGUGAACUGUCGAGUCCUUCCUAG